GACGUAGGGCGCGAGCGUUGUCCGGAUUUAUUGGGCGUAAAGCGCACGUAGGCGGCAUUGCAAGUCGGAUGUGAAAUCCCUCGGCUCAACCAAGGAAGUGCAUCCGAAACUGCUGUGCUUGAGUACUAAAGAGGAUCGCGGAAUUCCCGGUGUAGAGGUGAAAUUUCGUAGAUAUCGGGAGGAACACCAGUGGCGAAGGCGGCGAUCUGGGUAGAUACUGACGCUGAGGUGCGAAAGCGUGGGGAGCAAACAGG
rnacentral:rRNA from 1 species